rnacentral:rRNA from 1 species
AGGGUUCGAUUCUGGCUCAGGAUGAACGCUAGCUACAGGCUUAACACAUGCAAGUCGAGGGGCAGCAUGAUCUUAGCUUGCUAAGAUGAUGGCGACCGGCGCACGGGUGAGUAACGCGUAUCCAACCUUCCCUUAGUAGGGCAUAGCCCGGUGAAAAUCGGAUUAAUACCCUAUGUUGUGUCAUGAGGACAUCUGAAUAACACUAAAGAUUUAUCGCUAAGGGAUGGGGAUGCGUCCGAUUAGGUAGUCGGCGGGGUAACGGCCCACCGAACCCUCGAUCGGUAGGGGUUCUGAGAGGAAGGUCCCCCACACUGGUACUGAGACACGGACCAGACUCCUACGGGAGGCAGCAGUGAGGAAUAUUGGUCAAUGGGCGUAAGCCUGAACCAGCCGAGUAAGCGUGCAGGAUGACGGCCCUAUGGGUUGUAAACUGCUUUUAUACGGGGAUAAAGGGAGGGACGUGUCCCUUAUUGUAGGUACCGUAUGAAUAAGGACCGGCUAAUUCCGUGCCAGCAGCAGC